rnacentral:tRNA from 1 species
GGGCCUAUAGCUCAGUUGGCAGAGCGCGCCCCUGAUAAGGGCGAGGUCCCUGGUUCAAAUCCAGGUAGGCCCACCA